CGCUUGUCACCCGCCACAGCUGCCGCACCCCUCCUCCAUCAUCUCUUUCCUCUCGCAUCCUCCCGCGCCGGACGCCGCUAGGCUCCUCCCUAUCUCGUCCCGGCCCGACCCAGGCGGAUCCAGGGGUAGCAGAGAGGAGGAAGGGAGAUAGAACGACGGGGAAGGGGAUGAAUAGCAGAGAGGAGGAAGGGAGGUAGAGGAACAACGGGGAAGGGGAUGGACAGGAGCUUCAUGCCCAAAGUCCAGUCGCCCCAGGCCGUGCCUACACGAGCAGCGCCGUGGGUAGAUGCUUCCCCGCCCAACGAGGAUGGCGAGGUAGGUGUUGACAAUGGCAGCCCGAGGCCGUCAAAUCUGUCACCAUCGCCGUUCUUUUGGUCGAGGCCGCCCUCGUUCACGUGCUCCUCCUCACCCCCACGGCUAGACGCUGGCGAGGCCAGCCUCCCCUCCAUGCGCAGAUUAUCUUCGUCUCUGGUGUUUCGCUGGCCAUUGGGCUGAAGUCAACCGUACAGUUCUUCACAAAGCCCAAGAAUCGCAAGGUCAUAUGCAUGUAACGAUGCAGGCCUAAGAAUUAGUCAUGUAUCCAAAUUGUUCAGUUCCAGUUCAGUUAUGAGCUAACAAGAUCACCUGAAUGUGCAAUGUUCGAUUGCUUUCAGGGUCGUACUUUUCCUUGUCCUUAUUGGCUGGCCUGUCUUCAGUAUGAUGGCAGAGUCGUAUGGCUUUGCCCUGCUAUUCAGGUCACCUCUGUGUCUCCCGCCAGUCCACGACAUAGGUUGCAAUCUAGGUUGUUGCCAAGUUAACUUUAGGAUGGUAACCUACAAUGUACAACCCAAGAGAUCGACAGUGUUUAUUAUACUGUCAUGCCUCUACUUUUGUGUUGUAUAUAUAGCUGCUUGUAUAUCUAAUUGGAUUGUUCAGAUUAGAUACUUUAUGAAAUUAUUAAUACAUGAAAAUUUUGUUUCUUUA